AUGCGCUUCCGACCGCCCAUUCCCCUCCGCCUCCUCCUGCCUCAACUCUGGCGCCGCCCUUCGCCUCCUCUCGCAUAUAUCCCUAGGCCCAUAUCCUCAUAUCCCUCCGCGGCAGCCGUGGCGGCGGCAACGGAUUCCGAGGAGGACGCCGUGGUUGCUAGGGAUCCACGGCUAGCGCCUCAUUUUGUGGGCAGGCCAGGAGGGUCGCCUAGGUUUGGGGAGAGCAAGGCGGAGUCCGUUAGAAAGGCCUCGAUUGCCGCGCGGUUCAAGCUCUGCUAUGAACUGCUGCGGCAGAGGAGGUGGCGGGAGAUGCGGGGCGGCUUGGCGCAGGUGGUCAGCGAACAAGGAUCCGGGUCUGCAGCCAUUCUCUGUGAUAUCUUGUGGAGUGAGUUCAGAGAGUAUGAUUCCAGCGGUGUUGUAUGGGAUGCUCUAGCAAAUAGUUAUGCAAGAACUAAGAUGGUUCAUGAUGCUCUUUACGUUCUCAGUAAAAUGAACAGCCUGAAUAUGCAAAUAUCAGUUUCCACCUAUGAUAGUUUAUUGUAUGGUCUACGGAAGACAGACAUGGCAUUGGAGCUUUUUGAUGAAAUGGAGGCAUAUGGUAUCUCUCACAGCGAAUAUUCACAUAGCAUUCUCAUCGAUGGCCUCUGCAAGCAAAAUAAAGUUGGAGAGGCUUUAUCUUUCCUUCAAGAGGCAAGGGAAGGGGGGACGUUUAGACCAUUGGGAAUGUCCUUUAACACUCUGAUGUCUGCAUUGUGUAACUGGGGAUUUAUUCAGCCUGCAAAAUCAUUUUUAUGUCUGAUGCUGAAGUAUGGAUUAAAGCCUAACAGGUAUACCUAUUCUACUCUUAUACAUGGUCUGUGUAAAGUAGGUUGCCUAGAUGAAGCAGUGGAUCUUCUUGAGAGAGUGACAAAAGAAGGAAUGAAACUCGAGACUGUCACCUACAACAGCCUUAUUAAUGGUUAUCGAUUGCUUGGUUUGACAAGAGAAAUUCCGAAAAUAAUUCAGUUUAUGAGAUACCAAGGGAUUGAACCUGAUCUUGUUACUUAUACCAUACUUAUUGCUGGUCAUUGUGAAGGUGGUGAUGUUGAAGAAGGGAUGAAGAUAAGAAAGGACAUCCUAGACAAAGGGCUGCAGUUGAAUAUUGUCACAUACAGUGUCCUUCUCAAUGCUCUCUUCAAAAAGGGUUUGGUCUAUGAGGUGGAGAACUUACUUGGUGAGAUAUAUAGUAUUGGUCUAGAUAUGGAUGUCAUUGCAUAUUCCAUCCUCAUCCACGGCUACUGCAAGCUAGGCGAAAUUGAAAGGGCACUAGAAGUUUGUGAUGUUAUGUGCUGUUCUCAGAAGGUAGUGCCAACCUCACUGAACCAUUUAUCAAUUCUUCUUGGACUUUGCAAGAAAGGACUUCUAGUUGAAGCAAGAUGGUAUUUGGAAAAUGUAGCUAGCAGAUAUCAGCCAGGUGAUGUAAUACUUUAUAAUGUAGUUAUCGAUGGUUAUGCAAAGGUUGGCGAUAUUGGUAAUGCUGUCUGUCUGUAUGAUCAGAUUGUUGUGGCUGGUAUGAAUCCAACCAUUAUCACAUGUAAUUCUCUUCUGUAUGGCUAUUGCAAAUUUGGGGAUUUACACGCUGCAGAGAGCUAUUUCAGGGCUAUUGAGAUAAGUAAUCUGCUGCCAACAGCAGUAACAUACACGACCUUUAUGGAUGCACUCUCUGAAGCUGGAAAAGUUGACACUAUGCUCAGUUUUUUUUAUGAAAUGGUGGGAAAAGGGAUCAAGCCAAAUGCUGUAACUUACAGUGUUGUUAUUAAAGGACUAUGUAAGCAGCUCAGAUUCCGUGAUGCUAUCCAUUUUCUGAACAAUAUGGAUGGAGCCGACCCAAUAACUUACAAUACGCUUAUACAAGGGUUUUGCGAAGCACAGGACAUCCAGAUGGCUUUCUGCAUACAUGACCGUAUGUUAUGCUGUGGUCUAGUGCCCACACCUGUUACUUAUAACUUGCUUAUCAAUGUGCUGUGCUUGAAGGGGAAAGUUAUUCAAGCAGAAAUGCUAUUGGAAUCCCUCAGAGAAAAGGGCAUUGAAUUGAGAAAAUUUGCAUACACAACAGUAAUCAAAGCUCAGUGUGCAAAAGGAAUGCCUUACGAUGCCAUUUCAUUAGUUGGUAAGCUUAUUGAUGAUGGUUUUGAAGCUUCUAUUGAAGACUUCAGUGCUGCAAUCAAUCGACUUUGCAAAAGGAAAUUUCCUAAAGAAGCCAUCAUGUUCAUUCCGAUUAUGUUAUCUGUUGGUGUUUUCCCGGACAUUCGAGUUUAUUUUGUGCUUGUUAGAGCUCUGCGAAAAAGUAACAUGCUUUGCUAUAUACCCAUAUUGCACGCACUUUCUGUCAAAACUGGUAUAUAG
rnacentral:rRNA from 1 species